GCUUACGGCCAUACCACCCUGAACGGGCCCGAUCUCGUCUGAUCUCGGAAGCCAAGCAGGGUCGGGCCUGGUCAGUACUUGGACGGGAGACCGCCUGGGAAUACCAGGUGCUGUAAGCU
rnacentral:rRNA from 1 species